AUUGAACGCUGGCGGAAUGCUUUACACAUGCAAGUCGAACGGCAGCACGGACUUCGGUCUGGUGGCGAGUGGCGAACGGGUGAGUAAUGUAUCGGAACGUGCCCAGUCGUGGGGGAUAACGUAGUGAAAAUUACGCUAAUACUGCAUACGAUCUAUGGAUGAAAGCGGGGGAUCGCAAGACCUCGCGCGAUUGGAGCGGCCGAUAUCAGAUUAGGUAGUUGGUGGGGUAAAGGCCCACCAAGCCAACGAUCUGUAGCUGGUCUGAGAGGACGACCAGCCACACUGGAACUGAGACACGGUCCAGACUCCUACGGGAGGCAGCAGUGGGGAAUUUUGGACAAUGGGCGAAAGCCUGAUCCAGCCAUUCCGCGUGCAGGAUAAAGGCCCUCGGGUUGUAAACUGCUUUUGUACAGAACGAAAAGGUUUCUACUAAUACUAGGAGCUCAUGACGGUACUGAAAGAAUAAGCACCGGCUAACUACGUGCCAGCAGCCGCGGUAA
rnacentral:rRNA from 1 species